GCGUGGGUGAAGAAGGUCUUCGGAUUGUAAAGCCCUUUCGGCGGGGACGAUGAUGACGGUACCCGCAGAAGAAGCCCCGGCUAACUUCGUGCCAGCAGCCGCGGUAAUACGAAGGGGGCUAGCGUUGCUCGGAAUGACUGGGCGUAAAGGGCGCGUAGGCGGCCUGGACAGUCGGAUGUGAAAUUCCUGGGCUCAACCUGGGGGCUGCAUCCGAGACGUUUGGGCUGGAGUGGGGAAGAGGGUCGUGGAAUUCCCAGUGUAGAGGUGAAAUUCGU
rnacentral:rRNA from 1 species